AAAUAAUUUGCUUCCCAAAUUCCCAUUAAGGGUGAAAUGGUCUAGAGAGAAGGAACCACUGCUGUCCCCCAGCCCUGCAGUCGGCUGAGCCGGGUGGUCCCCAGGCCCACAGCCAAGCUAGCGCCGCAGUGGGGAAGGGCCAAACCCCUGGCAGGCAGCGGGCAGGACCCCCAGGAUCCCGGACCUCAGGGAGCAGGGGAACGCCUGGAGCCACGACCUCACACUUUGCCAAGACACCAAAGACAGCGGCACCCCAGCCCGGCCACAGGAUCUCACCAGGUGGAGUCUCUCACCAGUGUGGCGGGGGCUGAGCUCUGCCUCCUUCCUGUGCCUCCACAGGCAGGGGCGUGAAGCCAGGGGCAUGAAGCCAGGCGCCUGGGCUUGAGGGCCGCCCUCCCAAGCCUUCUCCCCCUGUCCCCCGAGGACACUCCUGAGGCCUACCUACGCUGUUACCCACCAGCGCCCACACGCACCCUCCAAGGCGUGCGUGGCUCUCAUGGUGCCAGGCCCGGACAGAGGACGCCCGGGGGAUGGUGCCAUCAGCACACUGGGCCAGGCUGGACACACUGCUCAACGGCUGGCCCACCCUCCCUGGGCCAGCAGGUGCAGCCCUGGCCCUGGGAUGCCUGGUGGGGGUGGAAAGACAAGGGUCUGCUCCAGGCGGGGUAGAGGAGAGCAAGGUGGAACCUCAGCUGCGGUGGGCAGGAACAUGACCCGGGGACGGCCCCCCCACACAGGGACAAUAGUCAGCAGACCCAAGAUGCCUUCUACUAGGUCCCGUGUGAACACUGUGGGAUUAUGGGAGCCCAAAUAAACUAAGCCAGGCUGGUCUGGGAGCUGCAUGGAGAGCGCCUGUAAGGCUGCCCUUUCAGCCCCACCCAUCUGCAAGUUUACCCAGCUGUCUCAGCACAGGACGACACCCGUCCUGCCCUCUGGCCCCCAGGUCACUAUCCAGCACCCUCUGGGGUGAGUAUGCCCUGCCACGGUUCCCAGGGGCACGCCAUCUUCCUGUGAUCAGGGUGCAUCCUGCUUAAGCUCACGCCCAGCCCUGAGAGCACAAAUCAGGAAGGGCAGAUGGAGGGGUGCAGGGGGCACAGCCCCACGGGCAGCUGAGCACGGUCACGUCCUCCCCGUGGAGCUGCCCAGGGACACUCGGAACCCAAGAGCAGCACUUGGGGCCGAAAGCCCGAGCUGGGAAGGCCGAGAGCCACCGGUGCCAACAGCAGAGGAGCAGGGGCCAGCACUGUCCUCAGAUCCCGGCCUUCCUGUCUCCGUGCCCAGCACUGUCCUCAGAUCCUGGCCUUCCUGUCUCCGUGCCCAGCGCUGUCCUCAGAUCCCGACCUUCCUGUCUCCGUGCCCAGCGCUGUCCUCAGAUCCCGGCCUUCCUGUCUCUGUGCCCAGCGCUGUCCUCAGAUCCCGGCCCUCCUGUCUCCGUGCCCAGCGCUGUCCUCAGAUCCCGGCCCUCCUGUCUCCGUGCCCAGCGCUGUCCUCAGAUCCCGGCCUUCCUGUCUCCGUGCCCAGCGCUGUCCUCAGAUCCCGGCCUUCCUGUCUCCGUGCCCAGCGCUGUCCUCAGAUCCCGGCCCUCCUGUCUCCGUGCCCCCACAUCCUCCCAGGGAGCUCCCAAGGGGAGAAGCCGGUGAAAUUGCCCCAGUGCCUUCGCUUUCCCACGGGCUCCCAACACUGCUGCCUGAAGACCAUUCACAGGCACCACCUCCCCAACAGGGAGCGGGUCUCCAGGUCAAGCCCUUAGCUCUGCCCCAAAAGCAAGGCUCACGGCACCAGGGUGGGGGCCUUACUGGUGGUGUCCAUCUUCCGCAGCAGCCCCCGGCCCUUGGCGUGGAAGGGCACCCCGGCGCUCCGCUUCAACUGCUGGGCGGUCUCCGUGGCUGGAAGGAAGAGGUCACAUGUGUCAGGGAUCCUCAGAGCGAGAGCCCUUGGCCCUUGUAAAAGCAUCUCUGUCAAGUGGAUUCAUCCGACGGCCCGAGCCGUAAACGCUGCAUUCUCUCUAAAUGAGCCGCUGUUCCGAGCCGGGCCUGACACCAGCUCGCACUUUACAACGAGUCAGAAACUCACUCAGGUGAGCAAGUUUCGGGAGCUGGGUGGCUGUGGCUGCACCUCCCAGAACCCCAUGGCAGGGGGAAGCAGCCGAGGAGGAGCUGAGGACCUCAUGAGCCCUCUCCAUCGACCCGGGCCUCCCCCUGGCCCAGUGGUAGCGCCGUCCUCGCUGAGGGUCAGCAGGCACGGUCUAGAUACAAAAAUAUGAGGAAGAAACAAACGAAGAGAUAUUCCUGACUUGGUUCAGUGUGGCUGAAGGGUCAGGGGACACCGAGUGCCCAAAGCAGACCCUGUGGCCGCUGCUGGCCUCCAAAGGGGGUGGGGCCCAAGGGGCCAGCAGAGUCCUUCCUGGGCUACCCAGUGGGCCCGGGGCUGCACGGAGCCUCCCGGACAGCGCUGUGCCCUGGCUGCUGCCCGUUCCAGCCAAGAUCCAUGCGCAGCUGCUGCCAGCCUUUUAUUUGGAUUCUCUGGAAACGGGGUAUUGAUGUACAUUAUAAAUAUUAAUUCCAUAACCAUUCAAAAUAAAACGAUGUUAUUGAAA